AGCUCCAAAAGUGUAUAUUUAAGUUGUUGCGGUUAAAAAGCUCGUAGUUGGAUUUUGGGCUCGGGCCGUCGGUCCGUCGCAAGGCGUGUACUGGCGUGCCCGGCCUCACCUUCGGUUCACCGUCGGUGCUCUUGACUGAGUGUUGGCGGCGGCCGGAACGUUUACUUUGAAAAAAUUAGAGUGUUCAAAGCAGGCGGUUCGCCUGAAUAAUGGUGCAUGGAAUAAUGGAAUAGGACCUCGGUUCUAUUUUGUUGGUUUUCGGAGCGCGAGGUAAUGAUUAAGAGGGACGGACGGGGGCAUUCGUACUGUGCCGCUAGAGGUGAAAUUCUUGGAUCGGCGCAAGACGAACAACUGCGAAAGCAUUUGCCAAGAAUGUUUUCU
rnacentral:rRNA from 1 species